rnacentral:rRNA from 1 species
CAACUUUUAACAACGGAUCUCUUGGUUCUCGCAUCGAUGAAGAACGUAGCAAAGUGCGAUAACUAGUGUGAAUUGCAUAUUCAGUGAAUCAUCGAGUCUUUGAACGCAUCUUGCGCCUUUUGGUAUUCCAAGAGGCACGCCUGUUUCAGUAUC